UACGACUACAUAUCAGGCAUAUCAAUAAGCGGAGGAAAAGAAACUAACAAGGAUUCCCUUAGUAACGGCGAGUGAAGCGGGAAGAGCUCAAAUUUGAAAUCUUCAAGGUUUUACCUUGACGAAUUGUAGUUUAAAGAAGUGUUUUCUGUUGGAGUUUCGGUAAAAGUUCUUUGGAAUAGGACAUCAUAGAGGGUGAGAAUCCCGCAUUUGACCGUUACUUUCCAGCUGUGUGAUACACUUUCAAAGAGUCGGAUUGUUUGGGAAUGCAGUCCAAGAUGGGUGGUAAAUUUCAUCUAAAGCUAAAUAUUGGCGAGAGACCGAUAGCGAACAAGUACCGUGAGGGAAAGAUGAAAAGAACUUUGAAAAGAGAGUUAAACAGUACGUGAAAUUGUCAAAAGGGAAGCGUUUGACACCAGUGUUGUUUAGUUGAAAAUCAAUUCAAUAGUUUUUGAUUCUAAGUAGUAUUGACUUCAUCAGCUUGCUGCUUUCUUCUCAGAAAUUAUUGAAUGCACUUUUCAGUUAACAAGUCAACAUCAAUUUCUUUUGUUGUAAAAGGGUAAGAGGAAGGUGGCUUGCGCUUCGGCUCAAGUGUUUAUAGCCUUUUAUCUCUGCAAUCGGAGAGAUUGAGGUCUGCAGCGUAGAUCCUUCGGGGUUAGAUACAUUGGUGCUAAGCUAUAGCCUUGUAUAGACAACUUGUUGACUAUGCUCAGUCAUGUAGCUUACUCGCUGAUGCUAUUUUACCUACGCUUAGGAUGUUGAGCGCAUGUCUCUCUCU
rnacentral:rRNA from 1 species